rnacentral:rRNA from 1 species
CCGCCAGACUCCUACGGGAGGCAGCAGUGGGGAAUAUUGCACAAUGGGGGAAACCCUGAUGCAGCGACGCCGCGUGAGUGAAGAAGUAUUUCGGUAUGUAAAGCUCUAUCAGCAGGGAAGAUAAUGACGGUACCUGAGUAAGAAGCCCCGGCUAACUACGUGCCAGCAGCCGCGGUAAUACGUAGGGGGCAAGCGUUAUCCGGAUUUACUGGGUGUAAAGGGAGCGUAGACGGCAUGGCAAGUCUGAAGUGAAAGCCUGGGGCUCAACCGCGGGACUGCUUUGGAAACUGUUAAGCUGGAGUGCAGGAGAGGUAAGUGGAAUUCCUAGUGUAGCGGUGAAAUGCGUAGAUAUUAGGAGGAACACCAGUGGCGAAGGCGGCUUACUGGACUGUAACUGACGUUGAGGCUCGAAAGCGUGGGGAGCAAACAGGAUUAGAUACCCUCGUAAAG